rnacentral:rRNA from 1 species
AUGGGGUAUUAUCUUGCAGAUGGUAUCUAUCCACGGUGGGCAACAUUUGUGAAGAGCAUACCAGCUCCAGAUACCAGAAAACAUAAAACUUUUGCCAAGAGGCAAGAGGGGGCUAGGAAAGAUGUGGAACGAGCCUUUGGAGUUCUUCAAUCCCGUUUUGCCAUUGUUCGUGGACCUGCUAAAGGAUGGAAACGUAAUGAAAUCGGUGAUGUCAUGAAAGCUUGUGUCAUAAUGCACAAUAUGAUAGUUGAAGAGGAGCGACAAACUGGUCGGCAAAGCUGCACUUUUGAGGCAAUGGGAAAAGAGUCACGGUCUCUCGUACUCAUGCGGAACAACUGA